UCGGUGCAUUUUGUCGAACAAAUAUUUGGCCAAAUGAUCUCUCAAAUGUUAAUUCUUGUGGUAGUUCCAUUUCUGUAGAUUCAGUUAGAAGUUCAUCGAGUGUGGACAGGAUGGUUUUGAAGAAGGUGAGUAGAAAUGAAAUUAUAUAAUUUCACUCUUUUCUGUUCCAGGCUGUGAUAUUUCAUGAUGCGACAUAGCCAAUGAUUAUGCGGAUCCCGUAGUUUUCAGCAUAGCCAAAGGAUAUGUGAGACGACGGCAUUUAAAUUCUAUUGUUUCGUUUCGAGUUGGUUUCUAGUGAACGGUCAGUUAAUUCAUAGGAACUGGACCCUCUCUUCGCGGUUAUGAUACACGGAACAUACUGAGGACCUAAUUUGGCAUUGAAGGCCUUGCUUGCAGCUGACUUCCCAAACGUCCGUUUGAAUACUCGCUGUCCGAUGUUGAAUGAUGGUAUGGUUGAAACAUUGGCAGCAAGCAUCGCUACCCUACAAUCGUCGCGAGUGUUACGAAAAAGGACAUCAAAUUUCCGUUUCUCAUCCCAAGGACAUGAUAAGCUGCGAAAGAUCCGGACCAUGUCUAAGUAGUAGUCCUGGAAUUUUUCUCUGGCACCCCGCUUCCGGUUAUUCGCACGCUGUUCGUAGAAGUAAUCGAUAUCCACCGGCGACAGACCGAUUAUCGAUCCAGUGUCGAAUCCAGAAUACGUCGCCAUGUCCCUCGGUCUUGGGCUGCUAUCCUCCAAUCGCCCCUAACACCUAUUUCGCGUGCAUCCUCGUCGACAGCACACAUCCAACGAGUGCGGGGUCUACCUAAAAGUUGACGACCUCUAUCGGGAUUCCUGCUAAAUAUAGCCUUCGCUUGACGCUCAUCCGGCAUUCUCGCUACAUGCCCAGCCCACUGAAGCCUGCCGUGUUUUAUCCGCUUGACUAUAUCCGCCGAUUUGUAUGCCUGGUACACUUCAUGGUUCAUGCGUCUGCGCCAAACACCAUUUUCUAGUUUGCCGCCAAGGAUUGAACGCAAAAUCCUACGCUCAAAAACACCAAGAGCUCGCCGAUCAGCCUCUUUCAGCGUCCAUGAUUCAUGGCCGUAGAGAGCCACCGGAAGAAUCAGUGUUUUAUAGAGUGCAAGUUUAGUACGGAUUUGCAGACUGCGGGACCUUAUGUGACGUCACACCCUGCGAAGAACCCAAUGCUCCGUCACGAGCCUUAUAAUUAAAGUUUAAUUUUGUUCCUAGGAGGGCAUAGCCUUCUGCUAUGCUUUAGUCAGGCGAAACAUUUGGUUCCCUUGACAGAGGACCGCGAACGUCUCUGUCAACACUCUAUGUAUCAACAGAUUAUGCCACAGGUGGCAAAGAACUUCGCGCAGCCUUCUGCUGUGCUACAGGCAAACAAACUCGAAUAAAAUAAACAAGUUUUGUGUUAUAAACAAAACAGAAGUCGCCGGUUCAACGGUGUUGAUGCUCUCGCAUGCGUUCUAUCGUACAUGCGGUACUAGAUUAUAGGUUAAGAGAUUAGUAAGGUAAACAGAGAGUGGAGAAAGUCUCUCUCUCUGAGUUACC